UUGGAGGGCAAGUCUGGUGCCAGCAGCCGCGGUAAUUCCAGCUCCAAUAGCGUAUAUUAAAGUUGUUGCAGUUAAAAAGCUCGUAGUUGAAUUUCGGGGUUAGUAGGUUGGUCGUGCCUCAGGUAUGUACUGAUCUCACUGAUUCCUCCUUCCUGAUGAACCGUAAUGCCAUUAAUUUGGUGUUGCGGGGAAUCUGGACUGUUACUUUGAAAAAAUUAGAGUGUUUAAAGCAGGCUAACGCUUGAAUACAUUAGCAUGGAAUAAUGAAAUAGGACGAUCGAUCCUAUUUUGUUGGUUUCUAGGAUUGACGUAAUGAUUAAUAGGGAUAGUUGGGGGCAUUAGUAUUCAAUUGUCAGAGGUGAAAUUCUUGGAUUUAUUGAAGACUAACUACUGCGAAAGCAUUUGCCAAGGAUGUUUUCAUUAAUCAAGAACGAAAGUUAGGGGAUCGAAGACGAUCAGAUACCGUCGUAGUCUUAACCAUAAACUAUGCCGACUAGGGAUCGGAUGAUGUUAAUUUUUUAAUGACUCAUUCGGCGCCUUACGGGAAA
rnacentral:rRNA from 1 species